rnacentral:rRNA from 1 species
AGCAGCCGCGGUAAUUCCAGCUCCAAUAGCGUAUAUUAAAGUUGUUGCAGUUAAAAAGCUUGUAGUUGAAUUUCGGGAUCAAUUAAUCGGUCGUACCUAUGGUACGUACUGAUUUUAUUGGUUUCUCCCUUCUGACGAACCAUGAUAUCAUUAAUUUGGUGUCGUGGAGAAUCAGGACUGUUACUUUGAAAAAUUAGAGUGUUUAAAGCUAAAUACAUUAGCAUGGAAUAAUGAAAUAGGGCGUUUGAUCCUAUUUUGUUGGUUUCUAGGAUCGACGUAAUGAUUAAUAGGGAUAGUUGGGGCAUUAGUAUUCAAUUGUCAGAGGUGAAAUUCUUGGAUUUAUUGAAGACUAACUACAGCG